UGGCCUCACAUGUUCGUAUAGAAAUUCUUCCAAUUUGUGUGCCAUAGAAAUUUGGAAUUCGGGAAAUCAUGCAGUGUGAAAAGCAGACUAGAGGUGCCGUACCACCACACAGCCAGGUUGUAAAACAGGAUGUAGAAGAACGAAUAGGAUAUAGAGUAUGAUCCAUUUUUAUAUGUAUAUUAUUCAGGGGAAGGAUCCCUAUGCCACUGGUGUCAGGAGAGGAAACUGAGAUGGGAGAGUCUCUCCACGAAACAGGAAGAAAGAGAAAUGCAAUCUACUACCACUACAUAAAAUGGUUUGUUUUUAAAUAUU